AGAGUUUGAUCCUGGCUCAGGAUUAACGCUAGCGGCAGGCCUAAUACAUGCAAGUCGAACGGGAUUUCGGGUAGCAAUAUCUGAAUGAGAGUGGCGCACGGGUGAGUAACGCGUAUGCAAUCUACCUUUAACUGGGGAAUAGCCCUCCGAAAGGAGGAUUAACACCGCAUAAUACUACGAUGGGGCAUCUCAAUGUAGUCAAAACUCAGGUGGUUAAAGAUGAGCAUGCGUCCGAUUAGCUAGUUGGUGAGGUAAUGGCUCACCAAGGCGACGAUCGGUAGGGGGUCUGAGAGGAUGAUCCCCCACACUGGUACUGAGACACGGACCAGACUCCUACGGGAGGCAGCAGUAAGGAAUAUUGGACAAUGGGCGCAAGCCUGAUCCAGCUAUGCCGCGUGAAGGAUGACGGCCCUAUGGGUUGUAAACUUCUUUUAGCAGGGAAAAAACCCCCCGAUGCGUUGGGGGCUGAUGGUACCUGCAGAAUAAGGAUCGGCUAACUCCGUGCCAGCAGCCGCGGUAAUACGGAGGAUCCAAGCGUUAUCCGGAUUUAUUGGGUUUAAAGGGUCCGUAGGCGGAUAAAUAAGUCAGUGGUGAAAGCCUGCAGCUUAACUGUAGAAUUGCCAUUGAUACUGUUUAUCUUGAAUGUAGUU
rnacentral:rRNA from 1 species